CAAAGGUGCCAUGACAGCAAAUUGACGUGUAUGCUAAUAGGGUAACAUCAUAUACACACACGCACGCACGCACGCACACUAACCUAUAGAAAACGGACACCUUAAGGGGAGGAAAUACAAAUAAGGACCUCUACUGAAUAUGCAUUGGACAUGGCAGCGUCAGCAUAACCUACUAUAAAAAUAACAUCCCAGGGGCAGCAGUUAGGCUGGAGAGCUGUAGACCUUGGGAGAGGCCAGAAUGAUGGCCACCGGGGAAGAUGAGAACAAUGACAGUGAUGAGAAAGAUAAUGGUUAACAUUCCAGGGCAUAUAAUCAGAGCCGAAUGAAAGGGUCAGUUCCACUUGGUCUAUUUUAUAAACUAAGCUAAAUCUUAACUUACAUGAUCAACAACAUGAAGAUUCACAUUGGAGAGGACUUGGACAGAGUUGAGAAAUCAUGUAAAGAAAAUACAUUCUGCUGGAGCGGUGCUGCAGUUAUGCCUUUCGCUCACCAGGGGCUGCUGUGGCACCAGAACAGAGGGCCACCAGCUCAGCCAGCUGCAGAGAGACUGCAUUCUUCACAGUGUACUGCCCACAGCAGGAAGUUGCAGCAGACUCAUAUCUUCUGUGGAUUGGACACACGACUGGAUGGAAGCAUAACACACCAAACAGCGGGUUACUUUUGUGUGAUAUUUCACAUACGUGUUUUCAAAAGUCCAGAGGGAUAGAUGGUGCCAAGUCAACCCUGAUCAAGAGGUUAUGCAUUAGCUACGCCACUUCAAGAACUGCCCAGGAGGUGUUGCGACUCAGAGAGACUAUUCUUCCCCUGCUUCCUCCUUGCUUCUGAAGGGUAGGAAUGUACUUCUAGGAAAGCCCAGCAGUAUGUACUACCCCACCACUUCACUGCACUGGCCCAGCUACUUUCACCAGAAAGCACAGGGAAAUUGAGCCCUGGCCUACACAUUCCUCCCCCAGCUGCUCCCAGGAGAGAAUGAGCAGCCAAGUAAUCUUAGUCCUGUGCAACCAGCCUCAAGGACUUGAUUGCUCAAGCAAGGUGACAGAGGAUUAUGACUUCUGACUCCCCUAUGCAGAUGCAUUGUCCGAGUCACAAUCUAGUCAAAACUGGACAACCACAAUUUGUGAGAAGCAUUGAAGUCUAUAGUACCUGGUGCUGUCUUAUGAGUUAGUAAGUUCCUGUGUCAAGUACCAAUGGGAAUGGCCACUUAAUCCUUCAAAGCAUUAAAUAUUUUGGCUGCAGUAUGCAUUACUGUGAAUAAAUGACAGAGUUUUGCAGGUUUCCUGUGCACCUAUGCCCCUCUGAUGAGGGACUCAUAACACGUGGCUCCCAAUAUUCAAGACGAUGUAAUCCUUCACUUGUCAGCACCAUACUAGAGGUCAGUCUGGUUUUUCUCACUUUAUAAAUUUCCAUCUGUCAAGGCAUGCUUAAUUCACAGCUUAUUCUCACAUCUACCCCAAGGCUGUCUAAAUUUAAAA